ncrna:unclassified sequences pemK RNA
ACAAUGGUACUCCUGUCCAGCCACAGCCCCGCCUGACCGCAGGAUCACGCAAUGGGGGCAGCUCGGAGAGAUCCUCGGAGGGGUGAGAUUCCCGUGG